GAGAAGCUCCGACAUGUAACGACAUCACUUGUGAAGUCGGAGAGAUGCAUCCUAGUCUCAGGGCAGAUGGAUUAUCACCAGGAAAUAAAACACUGAAGAUUGGACAUAAGUUAAAAUUUCACUGUGACGAUGAGUACAUUCUGGAAGGUUCUGGACAAACGAGUGUUUAGAGACUGGGCAGUGGAGCGCCCCCUUUCCAACUUGCUCUGACACAUGUAAAUUCACAGGAGCCCCAGUGAACAUGAACGUCCACGUCCACACUCCAGGCAAUCUACUAACACCAGGACAAAGUUGAUGUUUUCUUGCCGC